rnacentral:rRNA from 1 species
GAUUAAGCCAUGCAUGUCUAUGCACAAGCCGAUAAAUGGCAAAGCCGCGAAUGGCUCAUUACAACAGCCACUGUUCACUUGAUCUGUACCAUAUCCUACUUGGAUAACUGUGGUAAUUCUAGAGCUAAUACACGCACCAAUGCUCCGACCGCAAGGGACGAGCGCAUUUAUUAGAACAAAACCAAUCGGGCUUCGGUCCGUUCGUUUGUGACUCUGAAUAACUUUGCUGAUCGUACGGUCUUUGUACCGACGACGCAUCUUUCAAGUGUCUGCCUUAUCAACUUUCGAUGGUAGGUUCUGUGCCUACCAUGGUUGCAACGGGUAACGGAGAAUAAGGGUUCGACUCCGGAGAGGGAGCCUGAGAAACGGCUACCACAUCCAAGGAAG